rnacentral:lncRNA from 1 species
AAAAUACUGCAUAAUUGAGCAUCAAUCUUCUCCCAAUGUGCUUUGGCUUUUUCAUCUCCGUCACUAGACUCCUUGAUUAGAUGAUCCUGAACACCUUGGCCUUUACACUACAACUCGACAGACGAAGCCCAAGCUAGGUAGUUUGAACCUCCCAUUAAAGGUUCUGAGGUAAUCAUAAUACCGGAACUGCCGGAACCCUGGUUUC